rnacentral:rRNA from 1 species
UACAGAGGCCCCAAGCGUUGUUCGGAUUCACUGGGCGUAAAGGGUGCGUAGGUGGCUUGGUAAGUUUGAUGUGAAAUCUCCGGGCUUAACCCGGAAAUGGCAUUGAAUACUAUUGAGCUGGAGGUUUGGAGGGGGGACUGGAAUUCUCGGUGUAGCAGUGAAAUGCGUAGAUAUCGAGAGGAACACCAGUGGCGAAGGCGGGUCUCUGGGCCGGUACUGACGCUGAGGAGCGAAAGCGUGGGGAGCGAACAGG